rnacentral:rRNA from 1 species
UUAAGCGACUAAGCGUACACGGUGGAUGCCCUGGCAGUCAGAGGCGAUGAAGGACGUGCUAAUCUGCGAAAAGCGCCGGCGAGGUGAUAUGAACCUUUGACCCGGCGAUGUCCGAAUGGGGAAACCCAGUGCAAUUCGUUGCACUAUCGUUAACUGAAUACAUAGGUUAACGAGGCGAACCGGGGGAACUGAAACAUCUAAGUACCCCGAGGAAAAGAAAUCAACCGAGAUUCCCCCAGUAGCGGCGAGCGAACGGGGAGCAGCCCGGAGUCUGAAUCAGCUUGUGUGUUAGUGGAAGCGUCUGGAAAGUCGCACGGUACAGGGUGACAGUCCCGUACACGAAAAUACACAGGUUGUGAACUCGAAGAGUAGGGCGGGACACGUGGUAUCCUGUCUGAAUAUGGGGGGACCAUCCUCCAAGGCUAAAUACUCCUGACUGACCGAUAGUGAACCAGUACCGUGAGGGAAAGGCGAAAAGAACCCCGGCGAGGGGAGUGAAAAAGAACCUGAAACCGUGUACGUACAAGCAGUGGGAGCACCUUCGGGUGUGACUGCGUACCUUUUGUAUAAUGGGUCAGCGACUUAUAUUCUGUAGCAAGGUUAACCGUAUAGGGGAGCCGCAGGGAAACCGAGUCUUAACUGGGCGUUAAGUUGCAGGGUAUAGACCCGAAACCCGGUGAUCUAGCCAUGGGCAGGUUGAAGGUUGGGUAACACUAACUGGAGGACCGAACCGACUAAUGUUGAAAAAUUAGCGGAUGACCUGUGGCUGGGGGUGAAAGGCCAAUCAAACCGGGAGAUAGCUGGUUCUCCCCGAAAGCUAUUUAGGUAGCGCCUCGUGAACUCAUCUUCGGGGGUAGAGCACUGUUUCGGCUAGGGGGCCAUCCCGGCUUACCAACCCGAUGCAAACUACGAAUACCGAAGAAUGUUAUCACGGGAGACACACGGCGGGUGCUAACGUCCGUCGUGAAGAGGGAAACAACCCAGACCGCCAGCUAAGGUCCCAAAGUCAUGGUUAAGUGGGAAACGAUGUGGGAAGGCACAGACAGCCAGGAUGUUGGCUUAGAAGCAGCCAUCAUUUAAAGAAAGCGUAAUAGCUCACUGGUCGAGUCGGCCUGCGCGGAAGAUGUAACGGGGCUAAACCAUGCACCGAAGCUGCGGCAGCGACGCUUAUGUGUUGUUGGGUAGGGGAGCGUUCUGUAAGCCGUCGAAGGUGUGCUGUGAGGCAUGCUUGAGGUAUCAGAAGUGCGAAUGCUGACAUAAGUAACGAUAAAGCGGGUGAAAAGCCCGCUCGCCGGAAGACCAAGGGUUCCUGUCCAACGUUAAUCGGGGCAGGGUGAGUCGACCCCUAAGGCGAGGCCGAAAGGCGUAGUCGAUGGGAAACAGGUUAAUAUUCCUGUACUUGGUGUUACUGCGAAGGGGGGACGGAGAAGGCUAUGUCAGCCGGGCGACGGUUGUCCCGGUUUAAGCGUGUAGGUGUGUGUUCCAGGCAAAUCCGGUUCACUUUAACACUGAGGCGUGAUGACGAGGCACUACGGUGCUGAAGUGAUAAAUGCCCUGCUUCCAGGAAAAGCCUCUAAGCAUCAGGUAACACGAAAUCGUACCCCAAACCGACACAGGUGGUCAGGUAGAGAAUACCAAGGCGCUUGAGAGAACUCGGGUGAAGGAACUAGGCAAAAUGGUGCCGUAACUUCGGGAGAAGGCACGCUGAUAUGUAGGUGAAGUCCCUGCGGACGGAGCUGAAAUCAGUCGAAGAUACCAGCUGGCUGCAACUGUUUAUUAAAAACACAGCACUGUGCAAACACGAAAGUGGACGUAUACGGUGUGACGCCUGCCCGGUGCCGGAAGGUUAAUUGAUGGGGUUAGCGGCAACGCGAAGCUCUUGAUCGAAGCCCCGGUAAACGGCGGCCGUAACUAUAACGGUCCUAAGGUAGCGAAAUUCCUUGUCGGGUAAGUUCCGACCUGCACGAAUGGCGUAAUGAUGGCCAGGCUGUCUCCACCCGAGACUCAGUGAAAUUGAACUCGCUGUGAAGAUGCAGUGUACCCGCGGCAAGACGGAAAGACCCCGUGAACCUUUACUAUAGCUUGACACUGAACACUGGUCCUUGAUGUGUAGGAUAGGUGGGAGGCUUUGAAGCGUGGACGCCAGUCUGCGUGGAGCCGUCCUUGAAAUACCACCCUUUAAUGGCUGGUGUUCUAACGUGGACCCGUGAUCCGGGUUGCGGACAGUGUCUGGUGGGUAGUUUGACUGGGGCGGUCUCCUCCCAAAGAGUAACGGAGGAGCACGAAGGUUAGCUAAUCCUGGUCGGACAUCAGGAGGUUAGUGCAAUGGCAUAAGCUAGCUUGACUGCGAGAGUGACGGCUCGAGCAGGUGCGAAAGCAGGUCAUAGUGAUCCGGUGGUUCUGAAUGGAAGGGCCAUCGCUCAACGGAUAAAAGGUACUCCGGGGAUAACAGGCUGAUACCGCCCAAGAGUUCAUAUCGACGGCGGUGUUUGGCACCUCGAUGUCGGCUCAUCACAUCCUGGGGCUGAAGUAGGUCCCAAGGGUAUGGCUGUUCGCCAUUUAAAGUGGUACGCGAGCUGGGUUUAGAACGUCGUGAGACAGUUCGGUCCCUAUCUGCCGUGGGCGCUGGAGAAUUGAGGGGGGCUGCUCCUAGUACGAGAGGACCGGAGUGGACGCAUCACUGGUGUUCGGGUUGUCAUGCCAAUGGCACUGCCCGGUAGCUAAAUGCGGAAGAGAUAAGUGCUGAAAGCAUCUAAGCACGAAACUUGCCCCGAGAUGAGUUCUCCCUGAGACUUUAAGUCUCCUGAAGGAACGUUGAAGACGACGACGUUGAUAGGCCGGGUGUGUAAGCGCAGCGAUGCGUUGAGCUAACCGGUACUAAUGAACCGUGAGGCUUAACCUU